rnacentral:lncRNA from 10 species
CUCAAGUGAAAUCUACUCUCCUUCUGCCCGUGUUCUCACCUUUCUGCACGCUUCCGCCUGCUGACACAUGGCUUCUCCUGCUUUCCUUUCCAGUAGCCCUAACAGAUCAGGCCCUGCCAGUAAGUAAGCUCCUGGCCUGAGGGAACCACAUCGCAUGUUACUGGAUUUCUGAGGCACUUGCCCUGCCAGGGUCUCUCUUUCUGAAUCACAAUCCCUGUAUUCCUGGGAAUUCUCUUCUCCUGGAUUCUGUUAUUCAGCUCUGUGUUUCUCCCUCCAUAUCUACUUUGUGAAUUUCUCUACAUCUUCACCUGAAUCCCAGGAAGCCUAAGGACAUGCUGAUGCUUCCUCAGUUCUCAUGUCACACCCUGUUCCCUCCUCCUCUAUGAUCCCACCAGGUCAUCCUGCAUCAGAACCCUGAGUGCGGCAGAGGCUUCUCUGGCCUCCUUACCCCCAGUGGCAGAAGGGAGGAAGGGAGGUCCCCUGUGGCCUCCCAUCCUUGUGCUCCCAUUAGGGUCAGCAUGAAGCAGGAAUGAGGCUGUCUAUAUCAUCAUGGCAUUCCCAACACUAAACUCUGUGCCCAGGAGAAGAAUAUGGGCCUGGACCCUCCACAAGAUGCGUAGAGAAGUCAGAAGGCCUUGUCCUGUGCAAGCAUUCAAGCAUCCACUCCUCGCACUAAUAUUUCUAGACAGCAAACUGGUGAUCCUUGCUCACCUGAAACAUACAUACGGGUUGGAGGAAGACAGAACCUAACACACCUUACCUGUGUGAUGUUCAGGGCUGGCCUCUAACUUCUGAGAGCUUCAUUUCACUCCACUUCCUACAAGGAUUGCUCAUGCCCUCCUUCACU